ensembl:lncRNA
CUCUUUCUCAAGCUUGCUUUUUCUUCGCCAUGUGGCCUGGUUCAGCCGCAUUUUUGUCCAAAAAUCAGAGUAACAGUUGGAGAUUGGGACAUCAGAAAUGACAGCCCCAACAAAGCUUCUGAUAAUCCUGGGGGAGAACAACGCACUCAAGUUAACCCUUCCUUUGGGGAUACCAAAGAAUGUUAACGAGCUCAAAGCGGAGAUUGAAAAUCAGUGCGGAGUUUCUGAACAGUUCAGAUUGCAGUACAUGGACACAGAUUUUAAUCAGUUCCUUAACCUGACAUCCACAUUUGAUCUAAAAGACAUGGACAAAAUAAAAGUGAUUAAAACAGGUGUACCAGAAACAUCCACUGGUAGUAAUGAAAGCAGUGUGUCCUCAUUUAACUUGGGUAGCCCCUGCU